UACGAAGGGGGCUAGCGUUGCUCGGAAUGACUGGGCGUAAAGGGCGCGUAGGCGGAUGGUACAGUCAGAUGUGAAAUUCCUGGGCUUAACCUGGGGGCUGCAUUUGAUACGUGUUGUCUAGAGUGAGGAAGAGGGUCGUGGAAUUCCCAGUGUAGAGGUGAAAUUCGUAGAUAUUGGGAAGAACACCGGUGGCGAAGGCGGCUCUCUGGACCGACACUGACGCUGAGGCGCGAAAGCGUGGGGAGCAAACAGG
rnacentral:rRNA from 1 species